AUUAAGACAAGGGUGACUUAAACAGUCAGAGCUGGAGGUGCGCAUGCCUGCUCUGUGCCUGGACCCACCAGUUAUUUCCCCUGGGGCAUGUCGCCGGCAUGCGUGUGUGGUCUCCAUUUCAAUGUUUUCAUUUGUCCUAGGUCCUGCCUUCCUGUGACUGAGAAAGCAAAGGAACCCCUAACGUGCGGGCCUUAAGAAGCGGGCCCCUAUCCCUGCUGCAGGGUCCUGGCUUGUGCCUCCGCUCCCGAUAGCCUCAUGGGACGGCCUCCACCCAGCGACACUGGUCCUGACAGUGCUGUCACUGCCCCGCCCUGCGGAUGCUGACGACAGAUGGAGCUAUGUGGGAAGGAAUGUGAGUGGCUUCCAGGGCAGAGUGUGGCCCCAGCCUCCAGCUGGCAAGGACACGGGACCCCAGACCUGCAGCUUCACGGAAGCGGACUCUGCCUCAACCGAAUGCAGUUGGAAGCAGACAUUCCUGCAGAAGAGUGCGCAGCCGGGGGACACCUGGGUUCUCACCUGGGAGACCCAAACAGAGAGCCCAGGGGAGCCUGCUCAGGUUUCUGAGCUGCGGAACCGUCAGAUGACAAAUGGGUGUUAUUUCCAUCCACUAAGUUUGUGGUAACUUGUGCUGCAGCAAGAGAAACAAAUGCGCCUCUGCUCUUGAUGAAGGUCUGGGGGAGACGUGGAGACAGGAUGAGGCAAGUCCAUUUUUUCUGCCCAUCGCACCUCCAUUCCUGUGUCUGCCCACGAGGUCUAGAGAGCUCCUGGUCCCUGCACCAGAUGUGAAGACCCCAGAAUGAACUGGCUGUGGGUGUCCUCUGCUCCGGAAGUUGAUGGAAAUCAGACACGUGCCCUUCUCAUGGUCAAACAACUGCUGAAGACCCGGGAACCAGAUCAGAAAACUGAGCUCAGUGACAUUACGUGACUGCCCAGAGCCACACAGCUGCAGGGCCCUGGAGGCAGGAUUUGAACCUGAAUCUUGAGGAGAGUCUGCAGCCCUUUUGCCUACACAUUCACGAUAUGUAAGUUUUCAUUUACACC